rnacentral:rRNA from 1 species
GACGAACGCUGGCGGCGUGCCUAAUACAUGCAAGUAGAACGCUGAAGGAGGAGCUUGCUUCUCUGGAUGAGUUGCGAACGGGUGAGUAACGCGUAGGUAACCUGCCUGGUAGCGGGGGAUAACUAUUGGAAACGAUAGCUAAUACCGCAUAAGAGUAGAUGUCGCAUGACAUUUGCUUAAAAGGUGCAAUUGCAUCACUACCAGAUGGACCUGCGUUGUAUUAGCUAGUUGGUGAGGUAACGGCUCACCAAGGCAACGAUACAUAGCCGACCUGAGAGGGUGAUCGGCCACACUGGGACUGAGACACGGCCCGGACUCCUACGGGAGGCAGCAGUAGGGAAUCUUCGGCAAUGGACGGAAGUCUGACCGAGCAACGCCGCGUGAGUGAAGAAGGUUGUCGGAUCGUAAAGCUCUGUUGUAAGAGAAGAACGAGUGUGAGAGUGGAAAGUUCACACUGUGACGGUAUCUUACCAGAAAGGGACGGCUAACUACGUG